UGAUAACUUACAAAUCCAACACGAUAACUUGGUCCUGGAGGCCCGGGAGGUCCAGGUGGCCCAACUGGUCCCAUGGGUCCAGGCAGACCAGCCAGUCCGGCCUCUCCUGGAGUUCCGGGUACACCAGGUUCUCCUUGAGCUCCCUGCAGGAUGGAAGGGAGCACCUGGGAGGCCAUCAGUACCCGGAAGACCCGCCAAGCCCUGGAGUCCAAGAGAUUUGGUUCAGAUAUACAGAAGUUGUUGGUCCAGUGUCACCAGGGGUGCCAGGGAAGCCUGGAGGUCCCUCAGGACCCUGUGAAGAAACAAUAAUCAACUUUCACAAACCACCAUUCCAUGUAUUUCAUUGGUGUUCUGAAUAUUGUGCAGGAGAAAAAACUACUCACAGUUUUUCCAUCCUCACCAGGAUCGCCCUGUGAAAAUGAAAUAAACACAAGUUGUAAGAAAAAAGUUUUGAUGC